GCCUUCUUAGCUCAGUUGGUCAGAUCGCCUGCCUAGUAUCGUAAGAACAGCUAGCAGGAGGCCACCAGUUCAAAUCUGGUAGAAGGCA
rfam:Rhizoclosmatium globosum strain JEL800 BCR33scaffold_23, whole genome shotgun sequence.